rnacentral:lncRNA from 1 species
GGGAUUGCAGUGGCAAAGCUAGGCUAGGUCUUGGAGGCUGGUGUAAGGCGAUGUGGGUGAAGGCAGGAGGCUGAUGGAAAGACUGGGGGGAAGAAAAGCCGAAAUGGAUUCACGGUGCCUUGGAUGAAGGACGAGAGGGGAACUGCAAGCUCCUUCAACUGGUUCUGUCCGGUGAGAAGUGAUCAAGCUUGGGCUGACAAGAGGCUCAGGGAGCCCUCACGUUCUUUCGCUUUUUUACCUGCCAAUCAAACUGCUACAAGACAACACCCUGAUCUGGCAUGGACAUCGCGGGUCCAAGCCUGUAGCCCCAAAUCGGAUAAUCUCUGCAGCUGAUAACAAGCAAAAGAGAAGCCAGGCAACAGCCAUAUUAAAGAAGAAAACAAUCAACUCUGAGUCAUUGCAGUCACCUGGAGUCACGGAAAUGACCAUGAUUGCCUGAACUUUCAUGACUUCUGUGGAUAACUGUGGUUGCAGAAAAGAGAAAACCUGGACCGUGAGGGACAUUUCACUCCCUGGGCUUUGGUACAUGGCCUCCCUACAGCGUUGGCUCAGCUCUAGCUACUUGGAAGGUCGUGGCAAUGCUGUCUCAGAAUGUCCGUUUCUAGAGUACAGAGAAGAAAUUCUAGCUUGACGUCCACGUGCAUUUGUCUGUGUUUCAGAGGAAAUUCCAAUUCUAAACUCUUGGAAGAAACAAUUUCUCGGCAUGCUGAAGAGAAUUGCUGUUUUUUGGCACCUGAAACACUUUUACCCAAGGGUUCUGAUUAUUUAAAUAAUUGGUAUGCUAUAAAU